rnacentral:rRNA from 1 species
GAUGAACGCUGGCGGCGUGCCUAAUACAUGCAAGUCGAGCGAACGGACGAGAAGCUUGCGUCUCUGAUGUUAGCGGCGGGCGGGUGAGUAACACGUGGAUAACCUACCUAUAAGACGGGGAUAACUUCGGGAAACCGGCGCUAAUACCGGAGAAUAUUUUGAACCGCAUGGGUCAAAAGUGAAAGACGGUGUUGCUGGCAGUUAUAGAUGGAUCCGCGCUGCAUUGGCGAGUUGGUAAGUUAACGGGUUACCAAGGCAACUAGGCAUAGCCGAACGGACAGGCGGGUAGGCCACACGGGAGCUGGACCACCGUCAAGACUCCUACGGGAGGCAGCAGUCGGCAACCUUCCGCAAUGGGCGAAAACCUGACGCAGCAGCCCCGCGUCAGUGAUGAAGGUCCUCCGAUCGUAAAAAUCUGUUAUUAGGGAAGAACCUAUGUGUAAGUAACUGUGCACAGCUUGACGGUACCUAAUCAGAAAGCCACGGCUAACUACGUG